ACUCAAAUGAAUUGACGGGGACCCGCACAAGCGGUGGAUGAUGUGGAUUAAUUCGAUGCAACGCGAAGAACCUUACCUACCCUUGACAUGUACGGAAGCUGGGUGAGAGCUCAGUGUGCCCGAAAGGGAGCCGUAACACAGGUGCUGCAUGGCUGUCGUCAGCUCGUGUCGUGAGAUGUUGGGUUAAGUCCCGCAACGAGCGCAACCCUUGUCACUAGUUGCCACUUUAACCGGGGCACUCUAGUGAGACUGCCGGUGACAAACCGGAGGAAGGUGGGGAUGACGUCAAGUCCUCAUGGCCCUUAUGGGUAGGGCUUCACACGUCAUACAAUGGCGCAUACAGAGGGUAGCCAACCCGCGAGGGGGAGCCAAUCUCAGAAAGUGCGUCGUAGUCCGGAUUGCAGUCUGCAACUCGACUGCAUGAAGUCGGAAUCGCUAGUAAUCGCGGAUCAGCAAUGUCGCGGUGAAUACGUUCCCGGGUCUUGCACACACCGCCCGU
rnacentral:rRNA from 1 species